UUCUGAUCCAUAGCACUAAGUUACCUUCAGUUCUGCUUUUGUCUUGUUUCAAAGCCAUAAAAUAACUGCUCAAUUAUUUAUACGAAGCACCUGGGCUACCUUACAAUUUGCGUGUUGUUGUUUUAAAAAUAUUUUGUUUAUUUUUGUAUUUUUUAUACAUGUAGUUGCAUUUAGUGUGCCAAAAAAUAUGAAAACUUGAUGUUCGUGACGUCACAUACAAUUUGAAAACUUGAUGUUCGUGACGUUACAUACCAAACAAUGACGUCAUUCAAAAAAUUGACCUAUUUUGAGGAAAUUUUUUCUUAAGCAAAAAAAACCCAAAAAACUGACUUCAUGUAAAAAAAAAAAAAAUUAAAAAAAAGGUAUGCGAUACGGGUUUUACCAUGCGAUACGGGGUAUGCGAUACGGGUUUAGCUAUGCGAUACGGGGUAUGCGAUACAGGGUAGGUGAUACAGACUGGAAAAACGAACCUUUAUUAGAAAUACAAAAUAGCUGUAUUUUGUACUAAAUAUAUGAUAAAUAUAUUUAUCAUAUAUUUAGUACAAAAUACAGCUAUUUUGUAUAUCUAAUAAAGGUUGUUUUUCCAGUCUGUAUCACCUACCCUGUAUCGCAUACCCCGUAUCGCAUAGCUAAACCCGUAUCGCAUACCCCGUAUCGCAUGGUAAAACCCGUAUCGUAUACCUUUUUUUUUUUUUUUUUUUUACGUAAAGUUUUUUGUUUUUUGUUUUUUUGCUUAAGAAAAAAUUUCCUCAAAGUAGGUCAUUUUUUUUAAUGACGUCAUUGUUUGGUAUGUAACGUC
rnacentral:lncRNA from 1 species